rnacentral:lncRNA from 1 species
GCCAGACACCUGCUGAGGCGCCGAGCUAGCGUACGAGCAGAUUCGCCGCACGGUCGACCUUGGCUGCCAUGACUGCGGGAGAACACGUGGGCGAUGAACUCAUUGCCGUCGCUGCGUCCUGAUAGCAGCAGCCCUCUCUCGGCGCACGCGUAGAAGCACCGACUCGCUGGCGCGUCACGCGUUUUUUGCCUCGGGGGCACGCAAUACACGUUGGUGACGUCGCGACGUAGGUGCGCUGCCUGUGCUGCCCUGUGUAAGCAGCGGUGAUACUGUUUGAUACCGUCGUAUGCCGGUUGUUUGGCACCUAGUGACGCGCGCUGUUUCGCUGACGGUGGACAACCGCACGGAUUCACCGAACGCCAUCUCUAGACGCAGUCAACGUCUUCGGGGAUUCCAGAUACCGCAUUUGGUUUCGUCGGCAAAGUCGAGGCGCCGCAAAAUUUGAUCGUGGAAGAACUAGACCCAGCGAGCUCGGACCCACGUCGCGAUGAGCUACGGACAACAACAGCCGAACGCCUACUACCCGCCCCAGCCGGGGUUCCAGGCGCCACCGGCGGGCUACUACCCACCGCCGCAGCAGGGCGCUCCCUACUACCCACCGCAGCAGCAACCAGCCUAUGUCACGGCGCAACCUCCACAGACCACCACAGUAGUCGUCCACGAGAAGAAGAAAGACGACGACUGCUGGAAGAACUGCUGUCUCUGCACCCUCUGCAUGGCCCUGUGUUGCUGGUGCUGUAGUGACUGAGUGUCCGAGGAUGGAGUGCCGAGAAAAAAAGAAAGCAACGUCGGAGCUUCCACAGAGAAAAGUUUCUUCGGUGUGCGGCCUAUGCAAUUUCAAGCCGGGGCCGGUGUCCCUCAACGGGCUGGUCCAAAAUUAUGUCCGCGUGCGAGUUAGGAAUGCGUUACUUUGUGUACAUGGGUUGUUGCGUGAUGCCGUCGUGAUUUUUUUUUUUUUUUUAAGAAUGUCGGUUUGGGUGUGAUCUUUUGAGCGUGGUGCGGCGGCAGGGAGCGUUAUUUUUUGUACAAAUCACUAUUGCUCAUGUUUUUGAAAAUGCAUUUCUUCGUUUUUUACGCGUUUAUAUGCCGUUUUACGUUUGGAUGAGGUGCAGUGAGGGCUGUGAUCACAGCGUUCGAGUUGUUGAGUGUUUCCGCUGUGCUCAUCCGGAUGAAGAGUUCCCAGCUCACGCUCGGAGCUUUUGGUAGAUAGUCGUGCUAAAGUGAGUUGUACCGGAAGCGAAAUAUACGCACGAAGUAUGUACAUACAGACUGGUGCUGCUUGUGUAUCGGGGACUAUUGUAUAAGCUACUUUAUUGCUCCGGUGUACCUGUUAUGCAAGAAAUGGUUCGCGUGCACACAUCAUAUAUUCUUUCUAGCUAAGCCCGAACGUAAUUAUGACGAGCUAAUCUGUAAAAAAAAGUUACUUUUGUAAGUUUUGUCAGGAUGUUUCGAGUUGCUUUUAUCUGCCGAUAUUUUUAAGCCUUCUUCAAUAUUUCAAAUAUUGGAAGGCGACCAUGUUAUCGUUAGACAUAUCAACGACGUCCAGUCAUUGCGGUGAGUCCGGUGGCUUGCCCAUGACUUUUUGGUUUGAAGAUGUGUUGUGCUAACCAACUUGUGCCUUUGAUGAACGACAUAUUCUGUUAUGUAUUUUAUACCGGUUGUCAUUACAAGACUUUAGAAUUGUGAGGUGACUUCCACAUGUUCGAGAAAUUUCUAUGUCACCAUAACGUUCAAUGUGAAAGAGCUGCUGCAUUCUAUAGAUAUUCUUUAACACUUGUUCCACAAGAUCGCUUGCACUGCACUCCAUUCGCAAUUUAUAAAGUACGUGGAACAGAGAGUUGUGUAACUGUCUCUUAGCUGAUUUUGUUUUGCGUUGUGGCUUCAAGAUUCUUAGUCACAGGCCAAAAAGAUAGAAAACUUCAUAUAUGAUUUGUCUGAUAAACAUAUAACACGUUAUAUAGAAUAUAUAACGAAUAAGUUCUUAUAUGAUAUCUUCUCGUAUGUUUAUUGGACACGUUCAUUUAUUUGUUUUUACUAAGAUAACGGGGUGCAUUGUGUUAAAUCUUAGGUUUUAAUGAUUUCACUGCCUGCGUUUAAGUAUGAAGCUUUGGUUGUAUUACAGACUGCACAAUAAAACGGCACCAUAUACUAUUUUUUUUAAGUUGAUAGUGCGCGAAUUUUAGUUUGAGAUUUCAAAAUAUACGGACUUUAUAAAGCUUUCACGUCACUGAA